rnacentral:tRNA from 1 species
GGACCUGUAACUCAGUCUGGUAAGAGUGCUGGCCUGAAAAGCCAGAUGUCGUCCGUUCGAGUCGGACCGGGUCCGCCA